GAUGAAGAACGCAGCGAAAUGCGAUAAGUAAUGUGAAUUGCAGAAUUCAGUGAAUCAUCGAAUCUUUGAACGCACAUUGCGCCCGCCAGCACUCUGGCGGGCAUGCCUGUUCGAGCGUCAUUUCAACCAUCAAGCCCCCAGGGGCUUGUGCUGGGGCCCUGCGGCUGCCCGCAGGUCCUGAAAACCAGUGGCGGGCUCGCUAGUCACACCGAGCGCAGUAGCACAUCUCGCUCAGGGCGUGCGGCGGGCUCCUGCCGUGAAACCCCCCACUGUAACCCCAAAGGUUGACCUCGGAUCAGGUAGGAAUACCCGCUGAACUUAAGCAUAUCAAUAAGCGGAGGA
rnacentral:misc_RNA from 1 species